GAAGUGGAUCCGAUGUGGCCGCUGACGUGUCGUCUAGUAAUGGUGAUCCGGUGCAACCCGGAUCUACCAUUCUAAAGGUAGACCUUCUUCCUCACUCGAUAACCUAAAGCACCAAAGAGAAGAGCAGCUGUUGCCUAGAGGAGAACACCCGGAUCUACGAAUCCAGCGACGACCGGAGAGGGGAUUUUUCACCGAAGGGAAGAGCAUCUGCCGCUGUGAGAAGGUUUUAGAGAGUGUUGUCGCAUUUUAAGGUGUUUAGAGAGUGUUGCCGCAUCUGAGUGUUUCUCGCUGCCGGUAUGUUCUCUGAGUGUUGCCGCAUCUAUUUUCGUCAUGUUAUUUUUAAUAUUUUUCAUCAGUCUUCAACAUACCAGUAAUAUCAUAGAUCAAUAUGAUAAAAAAAGUUGAAUUUAGCAGACGUUUUUACAGUCAACGCUGAACAGCGGAGAGAGAGGGAGAGAGAGUAAAUACUAAAUACUAAUACAGGGGGAAUGUAGAGUAUAUUUGCGGGUCAAUGGGUGACUAGUUUUGGCUCUCUUUUUCUAUGGGUCUUCGUGGGAAUUGGUGAAGAAGCAGGGUAUUUUUGAAUUUUCCGGCUGGUAUUAGGAGGGUAGUCGAGGAGGAAGUUUGAAUACUAUUGAAGAAUUCUUUGUCUGCUAUUUCUGAGUUUUAUUCAAAGCCUUCUGAGGAAAAAAUGGCGGCAAUGAUGGAAUUGGAUUACUGAAUUGGAUUCCGUGGCUUCCUUCUUUCUCUUAAUUUUGUUUUUGGUAAGAAUAGGAGUUAUGUUUUUAAGUUUGGUUUGCUUGGAUAUGCUGGAUAUCCUCAUUCUUUGUAGGGCUAGUUUUGUGAGCCAGUGAGGUUAAUGUAAUCUAUUGUUUGUAUUGGUUGCGUGGUUGGGGGUUUGGAAUUUAGAUGGUACUUGCUCAUUCUUUAUGUGUUUUGACAGGGGAGAAGGAAAUUGGGCAACUGGGUUUGGUAUUAUUUCAUGGUGCAUGGGGUUUAGAUUUAUGGCUUGGUACGUGUCUUGGGUUGUUGCUAUUCUGUGUGUGUAUGUUUUGAUUUUUAAAAAUUUUUUUGGGGCUUUGAAGGAGCCAAAGAAGGUUUUGGGUUGA